rnacentral:misc_RNA from 1 species
CGCGUAAUUUUUCAUCUGUUCAAUUUAUUUGGUGACUGAUUUUUGAAUAUGUGGUUUAUAGGACAUAUUGAACUUUUUUUUAUACAUGGCACAAUUGAACUUUUAUAGAAGUAUAAUCAAUUAUAACUUGUGUAACACGCUUGUAUCAAGAAAUGUGUAACCUUGUUUUGAAUUCAAAAACUUGAUCACCUUUUUCAUGGUGCUUUCAAUGGAUUUUCCUUGAAAAUUUGUUGCUUAUGGGGUACUGUAGCCUGAAAAUAAGUAAAUUAUGUUAACUUGUAUAAAUUUAUGAAUAUAUUUUCUGAAUUCUUUUUGGCUGGAGUUGUUAGUUGUUCCUGCUAAAUUUAAAUCGCUAAAAGUAAAAAUGAUACAUCUUGGAUUUUACAUCAGUCUGAUUUCUGAACAAAAAUGUUGGUUUCUUUAUGUGCCUUUAUUAGCCUUUCACGCCUUAUAAGAUUUCUUUGGAUUGGCAGAAUAAUUUUCAUAUAUAAAUUCCCUGACAUUGGUAAAAU